GUCCUUGUAGCUUAUCAACAAAGCAUGGCACUGAAGACGCCAAGAUGGUCACCUCCCGCCCCAAGGACA
rnacentral:tRNA from 1 species